UACCAGCUGCCUUGUGGAUACUUUGACGGCUUCUUCCAUUUCAGGGAAUAUUAUUUUAGCAGCUUGGGGUAUUGGAAUUGCAGCCAAUGGAUUGAUCAGUUCCUAUGUAGAUGAAAACAAUUCUUAAGUAACUGGUUCAGGAGAUAUUGAGUAGAAGGAAGUAACUGGUUCUCAGGAGCAGGUGACUUGGUGAUUUAUUUGUUGUGUCUAUGAGUUCUAACUGCUCUGAUCAAGUCUUCUUGGAUGACCAACCCUUUUAAGGACUUGCAGCAUUUUUUGCCCACCGAAUUAGUGCGAUCAACUAUGAGCAAUCAAAGAAUUUUAUUCAUCAAUUUGCUCUGCAAUUGCGGAAAAGAGAAGCACAAAGCUUAUGUAUCACUCACCCAGCAAGCACAAAGCUUAUGUAUCACUCAGCCAGCAAGCAGAGACUACUACAUUGCCGAAUGUUAAGCAUUAAUGCCUUUCCUUUUUCCAGACUCUCAAGCUACUCUUGCAUGUCGUCUCACUCAUUGUUCUAGCAGGAGGACAAAUAAAGAGUUCUGCUUCAGUGGGCCAAGGCCAUGUUGUUUCUCCAGGGAGAAGCUAAAAAGUAUGGCUGGCUGUUUGUAAUAGGAAGGCAUGCAUGCCCAUAAAAAAUAGUAGCUGGAUUCGACAGUUCGGAGCAAUGGCGCAUAAACUUCAUGUCAGGCUUCCAGGCACUAAAGCCUCGACCUUUGACCAGAAGCACUUCCAAUGGCUUCUUCCUCUGCAGUGUAGCUGAAUGGCAUCCAAAGCUAAGCCACAUGAAAACGGUCAUUCAUGGUAAGUUCAUGGUCUCUAGAGCAUUGGACUGGAAUUGGAUGCCUUAGGGCUCUCUUCUUCUGUGCACAGGUUGACGCAUAGCCAACAAUCAUACUUGGCAAAGCAAAAGCUUGUCCAACGCAGAAUCUUGGAAUCCCAACUGUUCAGGAUAAAUCCAUCACAGCCAAUCACAUGA